rnacentral:rRNA from 1 species
CCUACGGGGGGCAGCAGUGGGGAAUUUUGGACAAUGGGCGCAAGCCUGAUCCAGCAAUGCCGCGUGCAGGAAGAAGGCCUUCGGGUUGUAAACUGCUUUUGUCAGGGAAGAAAUCCUCUGGGUUAAUACCUCGGGGGGAUGACGGUACCUGAAGAAUAAGCACCGGCUAACUACGUGCCAGCAGCCGCGGUAAUACGUAGGGUGCGAGCGUUAAUCGGAAUUACUGGGCGUAAAGCGUGCGCAGGCGGCUUUGCAAGACAGAUGUGAAAUCCCCGGGCUCAACCUGGGAACUGCAUUUGUGACUGCAAGGCUAGAGUACGGUAGAGGGGGAUGGAAUUCCGCGUGUAGCAGUGAAAUGCGUAGAUAUGCGGAGGAACACCAAUGGCGAAGGCAAUCCCCUGGACCUGUACUGACGCUCAUGCACGAAAGCGUGGGGAGCAAACAGGAUUAGAUACCCCAGUAGUC